rnacentral:rRNA from 1 species
GACGAACGCUGGCGGCGUGCCUAAUACAUGCAAGUUGAGCGCUGAAGGUUGGUACUUGUACCAACUGGAUGAGCAGCGAACGGGUGAGUAACGCGUGGGGAAUCUGCCUUUGAGCGGGGGACAACAUUUGGAAACGAAUGCUAAUACCGCAUAAAAACUUUAAACACAAGUUUUAAGUUUGAAAGAUGCAAUUGCAUCACUCAAAGAUGAUCCCGCGUUGUAUUAGCUAGUUGGUGAGGUAAAGGCUCACCAAGGCGAUGAUACAUAGCCGACCUGAGAGGGUGAUCGGCCACCUUGGGACUGAGACCCGGCCCAAACUCCUACGGGAGGCAGCUGUAGGGAAUCUUCGGCAAUGGACGAAAGUCUGACCGAGCAACGCCGCGUGAGUGAAGAAGGUUUUCGGAUCGUAAAACUCUGUUGGUAGAGAAGAACGUUGGUGAGAGUGGAAAGCUCAUCAAGUGACGGUAACUACCCAGAAAGGGACGGCUAACUACGUG